CAGUGGUGGUGGGAAGGGAUGCUUAGGUCCAUCCCUACACUGGACCUCAACCCUUCCUAGACCUACCUAAUGGUUGACAUCAUUCCUGGGGUUUGGACCCUGCAGCUGGGAGCUCUGAAUACCCAGUCAGAAGCAGACAGUAAUCCCUAGCUUGAUACAGAAAAGAAGGGACAGUCUCCGAAAUUCAGUUAAAAGGAAGGCAAUUAAAAAACCAUUCCCUGAACUUCCCCACAUCCUGACUACAAUGGAAAAGGCACUCGGAUUUUGGAUGCUGGUUCAGAACAGUUAUCCCACCUCUCUCUCCUGGAGAAUGGGGCACCAAUUAUCAUAUAUGCCAUCCAGAACCACUUGAAUGCUGUUAGACUUGGCAUGGGGCAUGGCUCACAGACUUGUCUGAGGCACAACAAUGUGAAAGUCUACCUUUACUUGCAAGAGUAUCAGCACCGGGCGUCUUCAUAUUUAAUUUAUGGCGUUAUGUAAGCUGCUGUGUGAACUUUACCAUGGUAGUUUGGAUCUGGAAUUGUGAAGGAGACAAAUGGACCUGAUUCAGAGGGCUCAAUCUACACAGCUUCGUGCAGGAGAGUGAGAGAGCAGGAGCAACAAUUUUUGCAAUGCUCGUGGCAUUUCCCUUUUAUAUAAAACCAAUUUUAACUGCAUAAAAAUCUACCACAUUGCAUUGGGAAACUGCAGUGGGUGUGCAUUAAACUGUUAUGAAGAACUGCAGUUAAGAUAGAAUAAAGCUGAAACAAAUCUGCA
rnacentral:lncRNA from 1 species